rnacentral:rRNA from 1 species
CUGCUGCCUUCCGUAGGAGUCUGGGCCGUGUCUCAGUCCCAAUGUGGCCGGCCAACCUCUCAGUCCGGCUACUGAUCGUCGCCUUGGUGGGCCGUUACCCCGCCAACUAGCUAAUCAGACGCGAGUCCAUCUCAGAGCGAUAAAUCUUUGGCAGUCAGAGCCAUGCGACUCAACUGCAUCAUGCGGUAUUAGCAGCUGUUUCCAACUGUUAUUCCCCACUCCAAGGCAGGUUACU